rnacentral:rRNA from 1 species
CAGCAGCCACGGUAAUACGUAGGGUGCGAGCGUUAAUCGGAAUUACUGGGCGUAAAGCGUGCGCAGGCGGUUGUGUAAGACAGGUGUGAAAUCCCCGGGCUUAACCUGGGAACUGCGCUUGUGACUGCACAGCUAGAGUAUGGCAGAGGGGGGUGAAAUUCCACGUGUAGCAGUGAAAUGCGUAGAGAUGUGGAGGAACACCGAUGGCGAAGGCAGCCCCCUGGGCCAAUACUGACGCUCGUGCACGAAAGCGUGGGGAGCAAACAGGAUUAGAUACCCCUGUAGUCCCUGUCUCUUAUAC